rnacentral:misc_RNA from 1 species
AAGUCGUAACAAGGUUUCCGUAGGUGAACCUGCGGAAGGAUCAUUAUCGUACAACCGAGGUGCCAAGGGCUGUCGCUGACCCUCAAAGGUUGUGCACGCCCAAGCGCUCUCACACAUCCAUCUCACCCCUUUUGUGCAUCACCGCGUGGGCCCCCCUUUGCAGGAGGGCUUGCGUUUUCACACAAAACUUGAUACAGUGUAGAAUGUUUUUCUUUUGCAGUCACAUGCAAUCAAUACAACUUUCAACAACGGAUCUCUUGGCUCUCGCAUCGAUGAAGAACGCAGCGAAAUGCGAUACGUAAUGUGAAUUGCAGAAUUCAGUGAAUCAUCGAAUCUUUGAACGCACCUUGCGCCCCCUGGUAUUCCGAGGGGCACACCCGUUUGAGUGUCGUGAAAACCUCAACCUCCUUGGUUUCUUCUGGAGACCAAAGCAGGCUUGGACUUUGGAGGCCUUUGCUGGCACCUCUCGCCAGCUCCUCUUAAAUGAAUUAGCAGGGUCCUCUUUGCUGAUCCUCGACGUGUGAUAAGAUGUUUCCAUGUCUUGGUUUCUGGCUCUGUCACCUUUGGGACCCGCUUCUAACCGUCUUCAACCUUGCGUUGAGACAACGUUCGAGCAUGUCUCCCUUCUCGGGAAGCUCCCUCGACCCCACGAACCCUUGACCUCAAAUCGGGUGAGACUACCCGCUGAACUUAAGCAUAUCAAUAAGCGGAGGAAAAGAAACUAACAAGGAUUCCCCUAGUAACUGCGAGUGAAGCGGGAAAAGCUCAAAUUUAAAAUCUGGCGGUCUUUGGCCGUCCGAGUUGUAAUUUAGAGAA